UGUUUGUUUUACUAUCAUCAUCCUCCUCAUCAUCAUCAUCAUUUCCCUUAUCAUCCUUGUCACCACAGCAGGCACACUAAAGCUGUGUUAAUUCAGAGCAUCUUUGUCUUAACCCAAUCCAUCCUCCUUGAUAUACCAUAACACUGCAGAUCUUAGCUCACACACACACACACACACACACACACACACACACACACACACACCAUGGAGUAUUUUAUUGUACAUAUUGUAGCACACUCCCAUUCCAACACGCAGCAUUUACAUAUAAACCACACACACAGAUUCCCCUUGCAUUUCACCAGCAGACUGUCGUGUGCAUCAAUCAGCGGUGUUCUGUAAAGCUUUGUUUCUGCUUUGAUUCACUCUGGCUCUGAAGCAGAAAUCUGGGCUGAGCUCAUGUAGAGGAUGCGUGAAUGCUGUGUAGACACAAACUGGAUCACAUUUUCUGUUGUCAUCUUUACCGGAUACUUCCUGUUGUAUUAUUUUGAAUACUUUUUUUCUAUUAAAAAUAAAAACAAAGAAGCGCUUAA